rnacentral:rRNA from 1 species
UUUGGUGGCGAUAGCGAAGAGGUCACACCCGUUCCCAUGCCGAACACGGAAGUUAAGCUCUUCAGCGCCGAUGGUAGUC